rnacentral:rRNA from 1 species
AUGGACAGAGAGGAGAUGAAGAUGGUUAUCUUGGGACAAGAACAAACAUUCAGACAACAGGUUCAUGAGAUGCACCGAGUUUACCAUGUUCAGAAACAACUGAUGAGGGAGAUGCAGAUAGCUGGGCUGAACCGGGCUCAUGCUGAGACGAAACAUAAACUCGAGGUCUGGCGCGACGACAAGGCUACCGACCGUCAGCAACUCUACAGCUUCUCAAACAGCUGCAUCCCUGCCUCUGCUGCAGAAGAAUGCAACCUUGAGCUCACUCUGGCAACCGGGAGCAGCAGAAGCCACAAGGGCAAGCAAGUGGGCAAGUCCUCAAACUCAGACUCCGGGAUGGCGGUGUCGUCAACAUCGACCGAAUCUGAUCUGGCUCAGUUCAAGGAGUUUGACACAAGGCUGGUGAGGCUUCAGAUUGAGAGCAAGAGGUUUACCAUUGCCGAUGAGACGAAUCAGUCUCCUUGGCCGCACCAGCCUGUGAUCCUUAGGGUGGCACGGUGA